UACGUAGGGUGCAAGCGUUAUCCGGAAUCAUUGGGCGUAAAGAGCGUGUAGGCGGCCACUUAAGUCCUGCGUGAAAUCUUGCGGCUCAACCGCAAGCGGUCGUGGGAAACUGGGUGGCUAGAGUGCGGGAGAGGAGAGUGGAAUUCCUGGUGUAGCGGUGGAAUGCGCAGAUAUCAGGAAGAACACCCGUGGCGAAGGCGGCUCUCUGGAACGCAACUGACGCUGAGACGCGAAAGCGUGGGGAGCAAACAGG
rnacentral:rRNA from 1 species